UGCAAGACUCCGCUUCCGUGCCGGCCUCUGGUGACACGCAUUUCCACGACCGGGUGGAGACCUGGCACGUAUUUUAGCAAAGCGAGGAUGUUGCGAUGUGGAACCUCAGCGAGGCUGCCUGGGCGCUGCCAGGGCGGUGAGCGGCGCCUCGCUUGGCAGAGCGCUCGCUGCCACAGCUGACGACGCAGGCCCAGGGCCCGUGUGGGUGGACUGGGCCGCGGGACGGCGUGAUGACACAGCUCGGCCUGGGGGAGACUGGGACGCUCGACGCCAGGUCGCCCUGGCCUUCGCUGUGAGGCCUGGCUGGCCGUGCCGCAGGGGUGUGCAGGGAAGGGGCAGUCUCCGGGGUCGGGCGGCCGGCGUGGAGAGGGACGAGAGGGACCCACGGCAGCAGGAGGCGGGAGCUCGGCCGCACUCCGGCGUCCACGCCCAGGCUCAGGACCCCGCUGCUGCCCACACGGCCCUGAGGGCCUCGGCCGCCCCCAGGUGCACCGGAGGGGGGCGGGGGUGCUCACUGCACGUCACCGUCUGCAGCGGCUCAGUCACUGGGUGCUGGAGUGAAUGGAACGAGCCCGAGGCGCAGGCCUCACAGACGUCACGCGGGGCCACUGCGCCCAGGCCCUCACCGCAGACGGGGCGAGGACAAAGAAUAGAGGUUCUUUCCUCAGUAAAGGGCCCCUUGGGUCAGGGUGAGGGGCGAGACCACGCCCACACCGUGGGAGGUGACCAAGUGUCCCCAUGGAGGUGGCUGAGAGUGCCCCUGGGAGGUGACCAAGUGUCCCUGUGUAGUUGACCGAGCGUCCCUGUGGAGGUGGCCGGGCGUCCCCGUGGGGGUGACUGAGUGCCCCACAGAGGUGGCCAAGUGUCCUUGUGGAGGUGGCCAAGUGUCCCUGUGUAGUUGACCAAGUGUCCCUGUGGAGGUGGCCAGGCGUCUCAUGGGAGGUGACCAAGCGUCCCCGUGGGGGUGACUGAGUACCCCAUGGAGGUGGCCGGGCGUCCCCGUGGAGGUGGCCGGGCGUCCCUGUGGAGGUGGCCGAGCGUCCCCGUGGAGGUGGCCGACCCAGGCGCAGGCACGACAGUGCGG
rnacentral:lncRNA from 1 species